rnacentral:tRNA from 1 species
GACGUAAUAACUCAGUUGGUAGAGUAUUGGUCUCAUAAUCCAAAAGUCGGGGGUUCAAUUCCCCCUUACGUCA